AUUCCGGUUGAUCCUGCCGGAGGUCAUUGCUAUCGGAGUCCGAUUUAGCCAUGCUAGUCGUGCGAGUUCAGACUCGCGGCAAAUAGCUCAGUAACACGUGGUCAAGCUACCCUGCAGAGAAGGAUAUCCUCGGGAAACUGAGGCCAAUACUUC
rnacentral:rRNA from 1 species